AAUAGAGACAGGGGAGGAAAAUCAACAAAAGUUUGCCUUCUGAGCUAAGCUAUGGUCUGCCCUGAGCUCAAGUGCUGAGGUUGAUUCAUAAAAUCAAUUAGGCUAGAUUGUAGAGAUGAACAUAAUCAUAUCAAGCACAGCAGCGACAUACACAGAAGGAGCAGACAAAAUGUGUUGACAAUGUAUUUGCACAUCCAAGGGACAAGGCUUAGAACCGUUUUUAUUUAAAUAUGGACUGAAAUGUGUGGGGUAAAGUAUGGAAAAAUAAUGAGGCAUCGGCUUUGUUGACAUUUGGCAAGACACGGGAAAAAGAGAGCCAUCUACAGCUUGUCAGUAAAGUUCAAAUAAAUCAGUACGAAUAGCCUAGUAGUUGUGGUGUUCACAGUGCAUACUUAUGAGUAUCUGGUUCUGCAGGUUAUACCAUAGAAAUGUGAAAUCUCUUUAGAAACCAAAUAACACAUGUUGAGACAAACAUGUUUAGGAACGAAACAUAAAUGCAACAACACAGUAGCAAUGGGUGGAUAAGAUUAAGUUACUGUCGUACUAGUAGCCAGUUCAGCGGAACAUCAUCCUGUACGGACAAAACGGCAUCCGUAGCUAGCAGACAAAGGGAUAGGUAAGCUAACGCUAUCGGAGCUAGAACACUACCUCGUUUAUAACUCAACUAUUCGGCUAAAUGCUCAGCACAGUGGCCAAUUUUAAAUGAUAGAAAACCUUGUUUUAUAAAGGACACGUAUUUUACUCUUUAAUAAGGGCUAAACAAACUGUUUGGACACAAAGUUGUCAUACUUGCCGCUAGCUAGCUCCUAGCCUACCUAGCAGUAACUCGCGUAUGAAGGAACACAUUCAUACAACGUAGAGUGAGUUCGAAUAGUUACUUUUUGGAACGUUGGACACUCCUUUGUUACAUUGAAACAAAACCGGUUACAUUGGUUUCAACUUUGUAAAAACUAUCAGUCGGCUACGUUAUUUCACCUUAAACUAAUCCCAGGCUUCCUGAAACACACAAGCAUCUUCACGAAUGCAUUGUUCCCAAUACCCAGAGAGGGAGGGCUACAAGACUUCACCGAUGCAAGAAAACAACCUGAAAAACAAAGACCCUAAACAACUACGGAGAGCAUAUCGUAUCCUAAUCUGCACCCUCUCUAUGACAACAAGCAAGCAGGCUACAUCCAUCCUCAACAUUGCCGAUCCGAACAGGGGCUGCUGCCGUCGCGGGGAGCUUGAAACCGUCUGUUGGUGAUCUUUUUUUUCAGUCGCUGUUCCAGGGUUUUAUCCACGCUCCCCCUGUUAUAGAAUGGUGGGGGCUUCUUAAAGGGAUAUAUACCUUUUUUGGUUUAUUUGCCAAACUAAAUGAUGAUAGACUGGUCAGUGUUCUUCAUUCCUGGGCUUGGAGACCCACAUGGAUGUGUGCAGGGUUUUGAUCAAGCACAGCACUAACAUGCCUAUUUUAACAGUACCCUACUGUGCCCACAUGUAGCUGUAUGCUCUGUAAGGUAUGUUCCGGCCAGGAAUGGUAUAUAACAGCUCUGUGUGUUCUGUUUAGAUAUAGUUCUAUGGCUGUGUUUACACAGUAAGCCAAAUUCUGAUAAUUUUGCCACUAAUUGGUCUUUUGACCUAUCACAUCAGAUCUUUUCACAUCAGAUCUUUUUCAGAGCUGAUCUGUUUGGUGAAAGGACCAAUUUAGUGAAGAAAAAAAGAUCAGAAUUGGGGUGCCUGUCUAACACAGCCUAUGUGUCUUGUGGGGGAAUUAUUAAUAAAAUGUGUACAUGUAUACCAA